AGCCUGGUGGUGUAAUGGUAACACCCCUGCUUUGCAUCUCUGUGAAAGAUUGUCCUCAGCAGGAGAUUCCUUGUUCGAUCCAAGGUCAGGCCA